rnacentral:tRNA from 1 species
GGGGUUGUGGCUCAGAGGUAGAGUGCUUGCCUAUUAUGUGAGAGGCCCUGGGUUUGAUCCUCAGCACCACA